CAGCUGGCAUCCUGACGUCAAUUUGACAUCAACAAGUAGUCAAGAUUUUGACCAACAUGUAUGACGUGCAUAAAUAUGCAUAAUUUCAUUAUAUUUUGUAAUGAUUUCCUUGUGGUUGUAAAGAGGCCCAACAAAGGUAUCAAUCUAACAUGUUUUUUCUGGUCCCUACAUCUCAGGUCUAUAUUAUUGACAUUAAAUCAACGUUGAUUUGAUGUCAGGAAAUAAGACGUCAAAUUGAUGUGAAAUUUAUGUCAAAACAACGUCUGUUAAAAUGUCUGAAAAGGUAUAUUAUUAGCCUACUCAUUGUAAAUCGACGCGAGUUUUUCAACAUCCUGACCCACACAGCAGAGGGUUCCAAAACGGACCCUCUGCGGCGGACUCCGUGCGGAUACGCACAUCGAAGCGCCCUUUCCAGUCCUAACGGCUCCUUCAGUUUUCAAAUUUCUCGUUGAUGAAGUGGAAGACGAAACAGCGGCGUCUGAAGGCUCACUGUCAUUCACAAGUGGCUCCAGUCUGGUUUGGGGGUUCUGCCAUCCAAGUAAAGUUAUUCACAAGUGGCUCCAGUCUGGUUUGGGGGUCUACGCUUUCUCAUCCUGUCCUGCCACCCAAGUGAAGUUAUUCACAAGUGGCUCCAGUCUGGUUUGGGGGUCUACGCUUUCUCAUCCUGUCCUGCCACCCAAGUGAAGUUAUUCACAAGUGGCUCCAGUCUGGUUUGGGGGUCUACGCUUUCUUAUCCUGUCCUGAGUGAUUCUUGACAUUGAAAUUAUAUCAAAAUUUGUCAAUAAAUGUUCAUACUUUUGUCAUUAAUGUUUGAUUUCGGAUUUAUGUUGAAUUGACAGCGAAGCUUGAUAUUGAAUGAUAGCAAAAUAGCAUUAAAACAUUGUCUUCCUAUGCAUCAACAUCAUGACAUCUUGACAUCAAAUAAAUGUUGAAUUGACA